GCGGAAGUAGUUCAAUGGUAGAGCCCAAGAUUUCCAAUCUUGUUGUUGAGAGUUCAAAUCUCUUCUUCCGCU
rnacentral:tRNA from 1 species